rnacentral:rRNA from 1 species
AACGAACGCUGGCGGCAUGCCUAACACAUGCAAGUCGAACGAGACCUUCGGGUCUAGUGGCGCACGGGUGCGUAACGCGUGGGAACCUGCCCUUAGGUUCGGAAUAACUCCCCGAAAGGGGUGCUAAUACCGGAUAAUGUCUUCGGACCAAAGAUUUAUCGCCUUUGGAUGGGCCCGCGUUGGAUUAGCUAGUUGGUAGGGUAAAAGCCUACCAAGGCGACGAUCCAUAGCUGGUCUGAGAGGAUGAUCAGCCACACUGGGACUGAGACACGGCCCAGACUCCUACGGGAGGCAGCAGUGGGGAAUAUUGGAAAAUGGGCGAAGGCCUGAUCCAGCAAUGCCGCGUGAGUGAUGAAGGCAUUAGGGUUGUAAAGCUCUUUUACCCGGGAUGAUAAUGACAGUACCGGGAGAAUAAGCUCCGGCUAACUCCGUG